rnacentral:rRNA from 1 species
GACGAACGCUGGCGGCGUGCUUAACACAUGCAAGUCGAACGGAAAGGCCCUGCUUAUGUGGGGUGCUCGAGUGGCGAACGGGUGAGUAACACGUGAGUAACCUGCCCUUGACUUUGGGAUAACUUCAGGAAACUGGGGCUAAUACCGGAUAGGAGCUCCUGCUGCAUGAUGGGGGUUGGAAAGUUUCGGCGGUUGGGGAUGGACUCGCGGCUUAUCAGCUUGUUGGUGGGGUAGUGGCUUACCAAGGCUUUGACGGGUAGCCGGCCUGAGAGGGUGACCGGCCACAUUGGGACUGAGAUACGGCCCAGACUCCUACGGGAGGCAGCAGUGGGAAAUAUUGCACAAUGGGCGGAAGCCUGAUGCAGCAACGCCGCGUGCGGGAUGACGGCCUUCGGGUUGUAAACCGCUUUCGCCUGUGACGAAGCGUGAGUGACGGUAAUGGGUAAAGAAGCACCGGCUAACUACGUG